rnacentral:rRNA from 1 species
UACGUAGGGUGCAAGCGUUAAUCGGAAUUACUGGGCGUAAAGCGUGCGCGAGCGGUUUUGUAAGUUUGUCGUGAAAGCCCCGGGCUCAACCUGGGAUUGCGAUGAAGACUGCAAGGCUUGAAUCUGGCAGAGGGGGUAGAAUUCCACGUGUAGCAGUGAAAUGCGUAGAGAUGUGGAGGAACACCGAUGGCGAAGGCAGCCCCCUGGGUCAAGAUUGACGCUCAUGCACGAAAGCGUGGGGAGCAAACAGG